GAUGAACGCUAGCUACAGGCUUAACACAUGCAAGUCGAGGGGAAACGACAUCGAAAGCUUGCUUUUGAUGGGCGUCGACCGGCGCACGGGUGAGUAACGCGUAUCCAACCUGCCCACCACUUGGGGAUAACCUUGCGAAAGUAAGACUAAUACCCAAUGAUAUCCCACGAAGACAUCUGAAUGGGAUUAAAGAUUUAUCGGUGAUGGAUGGGGAUGCGUCUGAUUAGCUUGUUGGCGGGGUAACGGCCCACCAAGGCAACGAUCAGUAGGGGUUCUGAGAGGAAGGUCCCCCACAUUGGAACUGAGACACGGUCCAAACUCCUACGGGAGGCAGCAGUGAGGAAUAUUGGUCAAUGGGCGAGAGCCUGGACCAGCCAAGUAGCGUGCAGGAAGACGGCCCUAUGGGUUGUAAACUGCUUUUAUAAGGGAAUAAAGUGGGUCACGUGUGACUUUUUGCAUGUACCUUAUGAAUAAGGACCGGCUAAUUCCGUG
rnacentral:rRNA from 1 species